GAUGAACGCUGGCGGCGUGCUUAACACAUGCCAGUCGAACGGAAAGGCUCCUGCUUGCAGGGGUACUCGAGUGGCGAACGGGUGAGUAACACGUGGGUGAUCUGCCCUGCACUUCGGGAUAAGCCUGGGAAACUGGGUCUAAUACCGGAUAGGACGAUGGUUUGGAUGCCAUUGUGGAAAGGUUUUUCGGUGUGGGAUGAGCUCGCGGCCUAUCAGCUUGUUGGUGGGGUAAUGGCCUACCAAGGCGUCGACGGGUAGCCGGCCUGGGAGGGGGUACGGCCACAUUGGUACUGAGGUACGGCCCAGAAUCCUACGGGCGGCAGCAGUGGGGAGCAUUGCACAAUGGGCGCGAGCCUGAUGCAGCGACGCCGCGUGGGGGAUGACGUCCUUCGGGUUGUAAACACCUUUCUCUAGGGACGAAGCGCAAGUGACGGUACCUGGAGAAGAAGCACCGGCUAACUACGUG
rnacentral:rRNA from 1 species